UGCCUGAGCCGGGCGGUGGUGGCGCCCGCCUUUAGUCCCUGCCCUCGGGAGGCCAGGGGGAUCUCUGUGAGUUCGAGACCAGCCUGGUCUACCAGGGAUAGUUCCAGGACAGCCUCCAAAGCCACACAGAGAAACCCUGUCUUGCCUGAGACUCCUGCCCCUUGGCAGUGCUCUGUCCCCGGAAGCCUCCCUGAGGUUUCUGGAAAGGUGAUGGGUCAGGCAAUUGUCUUCUAGUCAUGAGGGUAGCAUUUUAAAGAAGUUUCUUUUCUCAUAAAGUUGGGAGUGGGUUCCUGAAGAGAUGGCUCUGCAGUCAAGAGCACUUGCUGCUGACCUGGGUUCAGUCCCCAACACCCAUCAGAUGGCUCCCCUUCAUCUUGUAACUCCAGUUCCUGAGUGUCUUUCUGAAAUCCAAUGUGUGAAACCAAGAUGUUGUCGAUAAAGAACAGGCAUGUUAGUCAAGUAAUGCUUACCUCUAAAGACAUGCCCACUUGUAUUCACCCUGCAUUUCUUCACUCUACACUGAAAAACUAAUCAUGAGGAUAAACCCUAUGAAUGUAAGACAUGGGAAAAGACUUUUAAUCAGAACUUACCCUAUGAGAGUAAGGAGUGUGGCAAAGCCUGGAGUCAUGUCUCACUUGUUACUCAACAUCAGCAGACUCACACUGGUGAGAAACCUUAGGAAUGUGAGGAGUGUGGCAGGACUUUUAUUUAUUUAUUUUUAAAGAUUUUAUUUAUUAUGUAUACAGUCUUGUGCCUGCAGGCAAGCAGAGGGCACCAAAUCUCAUUCAGGGUGGUUUUGAGCCACCAUGUGGUUGUUGGGAAUUAAACUCAGGACCUCUGGAAGAACAGUCAGUGCUCUUAACCGCUGAGCCAUCAUCUCUCCAGCCCCAUGUGGCAGGACUUUUCGUUGUGGUUGAUAUUUUUCCCAACAUUGAAGGGUUCACACUGGUGAGAAACCCUGUGAAUGUAAAGUCUGUGGGAAAGCCUUUAAAUUCUCAAAUCUUAAUGAUCAUCAAAGAAUUCCCACGGUUGAGAAACCUGACGCUUAUAAAGUCUGUGGGAAAGCCUUUACUCAAAGUUCACAACUUUUCCAGCAUCUGAGAAUGUAUACCUGUGAAAAACCAUUGUGAAUGUAAGGAGUGUGGAAAGGCCUUUACUCAACACUCAAGGCUCAUUCGGCACCAUAGAAUUCACACUGGUGAGAAACCUGAUGAAUGUAAGAUGUGUGGGAAAGCCUUUGGUAAUCACCAGGGAAUUCAUUCUGGUGUGAAACUCUAUGAAUGGAAAGAAUGGAAAGGCCUUUAUUCAGAGCUCAGAACUUGACACUAUUUUGUAGCUGUGUCAUUCUGCUCUCUACUUCUAUAUUCUCGUUGUAUUCACUCUGAGAAUGGAUACCAGUCAUACUGGAUUAAGGUCUCCUAAUGAUCUUAAUGGCUUUAUCCACAAAACCAUAUUUCCAUGAGAAAUCAUAUACACUGCUACCAGGAGUUAAAGCUGCAUCAUAUCUUUUGGGGGAGAGCACUGAAGGUGAGAAUAGUACAGUUCAAAACUAUAAUAUCCUAUCAAUACAAUUUUAUCUAAUGUAUUUGUAAUUUUCUCCCAUAUAUUUGUUAAAUAUAUUUUAAAAUGUGAAUGUAAAGUCUAAAACUCUCUCCUUCCCCCAGAAGAAAAGAUUCUAUCCCCAAACUACAUAAAUGCCCUCUAAGUGCAGUUUCAAUGUUUUUUUUUUCCCUUCCUUUUUCUUUAAAACAUAUUUAAAAGGUUUUUGUUUUGGUUUGAUUUGGUUUUUGGUUUUUCGAGACAGGGUUUCUCUGUAGACCAGGCUGGCCUCAAACUCAUGGGUACAUAGUGGGACCAUGUCUCAAAAAAAGAAAGAAAAAAUUAAAAUGAAUGAAAGAAUUUCUUGCUGAUUCCUACAUGUUAUAUUUCUGCAUUAUAUAAAGAAUGACUCUUCCAGUCUACUGCAAGACACUUUCAGAAAGACUAAGAAUACAAUGUACAAGAAAACUUCAUUUGGUCAUAUAUGGAGAAUAAUCAAGUUUAUAUUGAAUUUCCAAUAUAAAUUCCUAGGUUUUUAGUAGUUUUGCCUCCUGAUCUAUCAAGAGAUAUUAAGGACAUUGCUUUAGUAUUCAGUCACAGGAUCAAUAAGAACUACUAUAGACAUGUACACUUACCACAAACUAGGUAGAGAAAACAUAGCUGAUAUGGUAUGGUUCUUAAAACCAGUUGGUUAUAGGAUUAUUUUCUACACAGUUAACAUAUCAAAAGACAUUGAUGUUUAGAGUACAAACUUGGUAAUGAGCACUCUAUGAUAUAUAGGUUUGAUAUCCUCAACUCAGGUUCAAUUUAUAUUUACAAUUGUAUAUGGUUUACUGAGGAAUGUGUUAUAAUAUACUUCUAAGUCUCUUCACAUAUAGUUUGUAUAUGUUGUUACCAUACAAGUUUAGAGCUUUUGUGUCAGAAAAAACAUGCUUAUGUUCUGUAAUAUUUCUACUAAAAUUUGCGCCACAAUGAGAGUAGAAAUUUCCUGCUACUAAAGCACUGUAUGUAAACAAAGUAAAAUGAUAAGAUUGGGGAUCUUGAUCCAGGUUUCCCACACAAUUAUUAGGUUCUCAGUCCUGUAGGCAUUUUUCCCUAGCAUGAAUUUCCUGAUGUCUGAGGUUUGGCUUCUGAUAGAAGACUUUGCCGCACUCAUUAUACUCAUAGGAUUUUUUUCUCUAGUGUUUAUUGAGACGUGAUUUCUGGCUAAAGCAUUUGCCACAUUCUCUGCAACAAUAAAGUUUUUCUCCUUAAGGUGCAUCUUCCAAUGUACAUUAAGGUAUGACUUUUCACUGCACAAAA